GAUGAACGCUGGCGGCGUGCCUAAUACAUGCAAGUCGAACGAACAGACGAUGAGAUUGCGCUUCUAACGGUGGCGGCUGGCGGACGAGUAAGACGUGGAUCAGCAACUUAUAUUUCUGGGAUAAUUACGUAAAAACGGAUACAAUAAUGCCUAAUAUAUUCAACCGGUGGAUUCAGUGGAUCAUGGCAGCUUUCGCGUCUCUAUUAGAUGGUUCCGCGCUGGAUUAGCUAGUUGGUAAGGUAACGGCUUACCAAGGCGACGAUGCGUAGCCGACCUGAGAGGAUGAUCGGCCACACUGGAACUGAGACACGGUCCAGACUCCUACGGGAGGCAGCAGUAGGGAAUAUUCGGCAAUGGGCGCAAGCUUGACCCAGCCAUGCCGCGUGAGUGAUGAAGGCCUUCGGAUCGUAAAGCCCUGUUAUUGGGGAAGAACAGCAGUAUAAGUAACCCCCCCCGUCUUGACGGUACCUAAUCAAAAAGCACCGGCUAACUACGUG
rnacentral:rRNA from 1 species